rnacentral:tRNA from 1 species
GGCCCUGUGCGCGAAUGGUAAAGCGGCUCGCCUGCAAAGCGAGAACAAUUUUUGUCGGUUCGAUUCCGACCAGGGUCUCCA